UACAGAGGGGGCAAGCGUUGUUCGGAAUUACUGGGCGUAAAGGGCGCGUAGGCGGCCUUCUAAGUUGAACGUGAAAUCUCCGGGCUCAACCCGGGAACUGCGUCCGAUACUGGAAGGCUUGAAUCCGGGAGAGGGAUGCGGAAUUCCAGGUGUAGCGGUGAAAUGACGUAGAUAUCUGGAGGAACACCGGUGGCGAAGGCGGCAUCCUGGACCGGCAUUGACGCUGAGGCGCGAAAGCCAGGGGAGCAAAGCGGG
rnacentral:rRNA from 1 species